rnacentral:lncRNA from 1 species
UUUUGGAUCAUGAGUAGUUGGUUAGCAUCGAAGUUCAUUAAUUUUCUUUAUGGUGAAUGAUUAAAUUAAAAGAAGGGAGAAGAAGAAGAGAACCAUAAUUAACUCAUUCAUCACAAGUAAGACAAAGAAAUUUCAAGAACGACAAAUAUGCAACGAAUCAGAAAGGAGUUCAAGGCUUACCAACCGAGGGGAGGAUUCCUCCUGUUAUUAUUGCAAAGAAUCGUCAUCGAAUUUACUAAAGAGAAACCCAAAAAACUUCAAAGUAAG